AUCAGACACGGUGCCAGCCGCCGCGGUAAUACGUAGGUGGCAAGCGUUGUCCGGAAUUAUUGGGCGUAAAGCGCGCGCAGGCGGUCCCUUAAGUCUGAUGUGAAAGCCCCCGGCUUAACCGGGGAGGGUCAUUGGAAACUGGGGGACUUGAGUGCAGAAGAGAAGAGCGGAAUUCCACGUGUAGCGGUGAAAUGCGUAGAGAUGUGGAGGAACACCAGUGGCGAAGGCGGCUCUUUGGCUGUAACUGACGCUGAGGCGCGAAAAGCGUGGGGAGCAAACAGGAUUAGAUACCCUGGUAGUCCACGCCGUAAACGAUGAGUGCUAAGUGUUAGAGGGUUUCCGCCCUUUAGUGCUGCAGCUAACGCAUUAAGCACUCCGCCUGGGGAUACGGCCGCAAGGCUGAAACUCAAAGGAAUU
rnacentral:rRNA from 1 species